GAUGAACGCUGGCGGCGUGCCUAAUACAUGCAAGUCGAGCGAACAGACGAGGAGCUUGCUCCUCUGACGUUAGCGGCGGACGGGUGAGUAACACGUGGAUAACCUACCUAUAAGACUGGGAUAACUUCGGGAAACCGGAGCUAAUACCGGAUAAUAUAUUGAACCGCAUGGUUCAAUAGUGAAAGACGGUUUUGCUGUCACUUAUAGAUGGAUCCGCGCCGCAUUAGCUAGUUGGUAAGGUAACGGCUUACCAAGGCAACGAUGCGUAGCCGACCUGAGAGGGUGAUCGGCCACACUGGAACUGAGACACGGUCCAGACUCCGACGGGAGGCAGCAGUAGGGAAUCUUCCGCAAUGGGCGAAAGCUUGACGGAGCAACGCCGCGUGAGUGAUGAAGGUCUUCGGAUCGAAAAACUCUGUUAUUAGGGAAGAACAAAUGUGUAAGUAACUAUGCACGUCUUGACGGUACCUAAUCAGAAAGCCACGGCUAACUACGUG
rnacentral:rRNA from 1 species